AUGGCACACAGAAUUGCUGCAGUGCUGAAGCAAGUGUUGCAGAAGUCUAAGGGCCAUCCACAUCGAUGACAAUUAGAAUAUCACCUCUUUGCCUCUCAAUGCAAGAGUUGCGCAUAGUUUUCUAUCAAGAUGCAUUCUAAGGCUACUCCGUCCACAAACUAAACAUGGUGAGCAACUAAUAGCCUCCAAUGGUAGUAAUCUGUAAUUGUGGUAAA
rnacentral:misc_RNA from 1 species